rnacentral:lncRNA from 1 species
GUCUACACCGGUUUCGUAUUUUCACGUGAAAACGGCCGAAAACUGAGAGGUUAUCAACAAAUUAUAAGUUUACGGGUACCAUGAGGAUUUUUCAUGCAUUUAAACGACAGAAGUACAAGCGAACAGAUGACACAUUAAAGUGGCUGCAGAAGCUUGAAAAGUUAGAUAGAGCAGGGGCAGUCAAAACUGUGGGAUAAUACUUCUAUGGUGUCCAACAUGUCUAGUCAGGUUGACAGAAGUGAAAGAUGGUCUGAUGGUACAAUGAUGUACAAAUGAUAGUCUUUAACAAGUUUAACAUGUCAAGGUGUAAAAUGUUCUGUGGAUUCAUAUGAUGAGAAUGCCAAUGAUGAUCUGUAUGACUUAAUUAAACACAGCUAUUGAUACCUUCAGGUAAUCGUUUACAAUAUUAAAAGAGUUACAAUGUAGUCCAGUUAUUGAUUUGGCAUAUAUC